CCUACGGGAGGCAGCAGUGAGGAAUAUUGGGCAAUGGGCGCAAGCCUGACCCAGCAACGCCGCGUGAAGGAAGAAGGCUUUCGGGUUUUAAACUUCUUUUCUCAGGGACGAAGAAAGUGACGGUACCUGAGGAAUAAGCCACGGCUAACUACGUGCCAGCAGCCGCGGUAAUACGGAGGUGGCAAGCGUUAUCCGGAUUUAUUGGGUGUAAAGGGCGUGUAGGCGGGAUUGCAAGUCAGAUGUGAAAUCUCAGGGCUCAACCCUGAGCCUGCAUUUGAAACUGUGUUUCUUGAGUGCUGGAGAGGCAAGCGGAAUGCCGGGUGUAGCGGUGAAAUGCGUAGAUAUACGGAGGAACACCAGUGGCGAAGGCGGAUUGCUGGACAGUAACUGACGCUGAGGCGCGAAAGCGUGGGGAGCAAACAGGAUUAGAUACCCCGGUAGUC
rnacentral:rRNA from 1 species